AUUGAACGCUGGCGGAAUGCUUUACACAUGCAAGUCGAACGGCAGCACGGGGCAACCUGGUGGCGAGUGGCGAACGGGUGAGUAAUACAUCGGAACGUGCCCAAUCGUGGGGAUAACGUAGCGAAAGUUACGCUAAUACCGCAUACGAUCUACGGAUGAAAGCGGGGGAUCGCAAGACCUCGCGCGAGUGGAGCGGCCGAUGUCAGAUUAGGUAGUUGGUGGGGUAAAGGCUCACCAAGCCAACGGUCUGUAGCUGGUCUGAGAGGACGACCAGCCACACUGGAACUGAGACACGGUCCAGACUCCUACGGGAGGCAGCAGUGGGGAAUUUUGGACAAUGGGCGCAAGCCUGAUCCAGCCAUUCCGCGUGCAGGAUGAAGGCCUUCGGUUGUAACUGACUUUUGUACGGUAACGAAACGGACGAGC
rnacentral:rRNA from 1 species